rnacentral:lncRNA from 1 species
ACAAAACCCAGGCAGUGGUGGAGGCGUCGGAACAAGUUUGGAGGUCGAAUCGAGCACACCUAAGUAUAAGGUUUCCAACGGGUUUUAAUGAAAUUGAAGCUCUUCCCAGCCAAAUUGGCCUUGGUCACAGGUAUGAAAGUUACUCUACUUAUUGAGAUCUUCAUUCCUGUAAAUUUUGGUAAUUUUUGAAAAAUGUUGGAUUU